rnacentral:rRNA from 1 species
AUUGAACGCUGGCGGCAUGCCUAACACAUGCAAGUCGAACGGCAGCACGGGAGCUUGCUCCUGGUGGCGAGUGGCGGACGGGUGAGUAAUGCAUAGGAAUCUGCCCAGUAGCGGGGGACACUUGGGGAAACUCAAGCUAAUACCGCAUGCGCCCUACGGGGGAAAGCGGGGGACCUUCGGGCCUCGCACUAUUGGAUGAGCCUAUGUCAGAUUAGCUUGUUGGUGGGGUAACGGCCUACCAAGGCGACGAUCUGUAGCUGGUCUGAGAGGACGAUCAGCCACACUGGGACUGAGACACGGCCCAGACUCCUACGGGAGGCAGCAGUGGGGAAUAUUGCACAAUGGGCGAAAGCCUGAUGCAGCAAUGCCGCGUGUGUGAAGAAGGCCUGCGGGUUGUAAAGCACUUUCAGUAGGGAGGAAACAGUAGGCGGUUAAUAUCCGGUUGCCUUGACGUUACCUACAGAAGAAGCACCGGCUAACUCUGUG